rnacentral:misc_RNA from 1 species
AAGUCGUAACAAGGUUUCCGUAGGUGAACCUGCGGAAGGAUCAUUAACACGUUAUCCACGUAACCACCAAAUGAGGACCGUUUAAUUUAACCUCUGUUUGGGAUGAGCAGUAACAUGAUGUUGAUGCGCAAAUAAACGAGAUUGCUUAGGCGUCAGAGCUCAACCUGUUAUUUGGAACGAGCCUUCGGGCUUGAACCAUACUGCUGCACUCAACCAGUUGGCCCCUCUCAACAUUCAGCUCUUCGUUUAUGAGAUGCGCGUUGGGAAACUUAUUCACUAUAAUCACCCCUUUUUGCUAGUUGACUUUUAUAUGUUGCUUACGCUUUGCUUCGGCAAGGUGCAGGUACACGUUUAAUUAUUUGAACGUUAAAAAUACAACUCUUAGCAAUGGAUAUCUAGGUUCUC